rnacentral:lncRNA from 1 species
GAGCCUGGCGGGAGGCACCGGCUCAGGUGCUGGCGUUCCGCGCGGCGCCGCCUCUGCUGCGGGCCGGGGGAGCCAGACGAGGUGCUGCCGGGACCACCUGGCUUCAUGUGUGGAUUUCCACGGCUCUUGCCCAGAGGCGGGUACACUGUGUUCCAAUGUGCCACGGAACUCACGCAGUGGCACUUUGUGGCUUCAUGAAGGAAGAGGCAGGCCACGCAACACUUCCUCCCCAAGCCAAGGAGAAGUAUCACUUUUAGAGGCAGAGGAGCGGAAGGCAGUGGGUGUGACCAAAAGUGCCAUUUGUUAAAGCUUAUCUUCCUUGCCAGAUUUUAAAAACUAUUAUGGAAAAUCUCAAGCAUUCACAAAAGUAGAGAGAAAGAAAGGACUCUCAGACUGUUGGAGCAGAACUACUGAGAAAAACCAGGCAUUGUAUCUUCAGUUGUCAUCAAGUUCGCAAUCAGAUUGGAAAAGCUCAACUUGA